rnacentral:pre_miRNA from 1 species
AACUUCCGCUAUUUUAGUAGCGGUAACUUCCGCUAUCUUAGUAGCGGUAACUACCGCUAUCUUGAUUGCGGAAGGUUUUGAAUUUAACAGACGUCGAUUUCCUUCUAAUGCUCACGUUUGUUGUAUCCGCUAUCUUGAUAGCGGUAAUUACCGCUAUCUUGAUAGCGGAAGUUACAGCUAUCAAGAUAGCGGAAGUU